rnacentral:tRNA from 1 species
GGCUUGUUAGCUCAAUUGGUAUAGCGCUGCGCUAUUAUCGCAGAGGUCAGUGGUUCGAAUCCCGUACAGGCCU